rnacentral:rRNA from 1 species
UACGUAGGGUCCGAGCGUUGUCCGGAAUUACUGGGCGUAAAGAGCUCGUAGGUGGUUUGUCGCGUUGUUCGUGAAAACUCACAGCUCAACUGUGGGCGUGCGGGCGAUACGGGCAGACUGGAGUACUGCAGGGGAGACUGGAAUUCCUGGUGUAGCGGUGAAAUGCGCAGAUAUCAGGAGGAACACCAGUGGCGAAGGCGGUGCUCUGGGCCGGAACUGACGCUGAGGAGCGAAAGCGUGGGGAGCAAACAGG